rnacentral:lncRNA from 1 species
UGAAUGUGUGGUGGGGAGGGAGUGUCUACCAAUCCUCGCUCCAUUAUUUCUGCAUAAUAAAAGUCAGUGCUAAAUAAUCAAGAAACACAUGAUAAAACACACACUGACUACUUGCUCUUUUUGAACCAGGGAAAAAAAGAAACAACUUUGUUGUUGUUUUACUGUUGGACUACCAGGCUCUCUUGGUUGUAUGUUAUUGGCAAGAAAUGCAAACAUUUUUAAACCAUCUUCUUAAUGUGGUGUAGUCUUUCUACUUGUCUCUUCCAACAAUUAAUUCUUCUAUCAUACAUAGCACAUCCAUCAUUGCCUCAGGUUGUAGAAGACCAAACACGUAAUCCAUGCCAAAGAUACAUCCACUCGAUAGCACAUCCAAAAAGUUGAGGUUUUUUCUCCCGUCUCUCUUGACAUCAGUAUCCACACAUACAGC